rnacentral:rRNA from 1 species
UACGAAGGGGGCUAGCGUUGCUCGGAAUUACUGGGCGUAAAGGGCGCGUAGGCGGACAGUUUAGUCAGAGGUGAAAGCCCAGGGCUCAACCUUGGAAUUGCCUUUGAUACUGGCUGUCUUGAGUUCGGGAGAGGUGAGUGGAAUUCCUAGUGUAGAGGUGAAAUUCGUAGAUAUUAGGAAGAACACCAGUGGCGAAGGCGGCUCACUGGCCCGGUACUGACGCUGAGGCGCGAAAGCGUGGGGAGCAAACAGG